GACUAUGUAGUUCAGAGGCAGAACGCAACACUCAUAACGUUGAGGACACUGGUUCAAACCCAGUCAUAGUCU
rnacentral:tRNA from 1 species